CGUCAAAGCCUAACAUACCCUAACAACACGAUACUAACAACACCAACAAACCCUCUUUCCCCUAACAAGCACUUCUAUAACCUUAUAGAAACUAUUAUGUUAAAACUAGUAACAAGAAGUUGUACUUCUCUUUUAUGUAAACUUAAGCCAAACUGGAUAAACCAUUGGCAAUUAACAAACCCCCCAAUGAAAACUAUCAAGAAAACCUCAUUAUUCCCUUUGUUAACCUAACACAAGAACAUAACAAGAAAGAUUAAAAGUAGAGGAAGGAACUCGGCAAAUAUAAAUCUCGCCUGUUUACCAAAAACAUCGCCUCUCGCAUCUCAUAAGAGGUCUAGCCUGCCCAGUGACUUUGUUCAACGGCCGCGGUACACUAACCGUGCAAAGGUAGCAUAAUCACUUGUCUCUUAAAUAGGGACUUGUAUGAACGGCAUCACGAAGAUUUUACUGUCUCCCCUUACCAAUCAGUGAAACUAAUCCCCCUGUGAAAAAGCAGGAGUACAAAUACAAGACGAGAAGACCCUAUGGAGCUUAAAAUUAGUAACAUUUGCUUAUUCCCCUUAAAAUUUAACCACUUAGCAUUAUACUUAUACAUUUUCGGUUGGGGUGACCCCGGAGAAAAAUCUAACCUCCAUGCUGUAUAUUUAAGAACCUCAAUUCUAUAAAUCAAUAAACUGACACAUUGACCCAAACACUUGACCAACGAACUAAGUUACCCUAGGGAUAACAGCGCCAUCCACUUCAAGAGUACAUAUCAACAAGUGGGCUUACGACCUCG
rnacentral:rRNA from 1 species